CCUACGGGCGGCAGCAGUAGGGAAUCUUCCGCAAUGGACGAAAGUCUGACGGAGCAACGCCGCGUGAGCGAUGAAGGUCUUCGGAUCGUAAAGCUCUGUUAUUAGGGAAGAACAAGUACCGUUUGAAUAAGGCGGUACCUUGACGGUACCUGACUAGAAAGCCACGGCUAACUACGUGCCAGCAGCCGCGGUAAUACGUAGGUGGCAAGCGUUGUCCGGAAUUAUUGGGCGUAAAGCGCGCGCAGGCGGUCCUUUAAGUCUGAUGUGAAAUCCCACGGCUCAACCGUGGAUGGUCAUUGGAAACUGGAGGACUUGAGUACAGAAGAGGAGAGUGGAAUUCCACGUGUAGCGGUGAAAUGCGUAGAGAUGUGGAGGAACACCAGUGGCGAAGGCGACUCUCUGGUCUGUAACUGACGCUGAGGCGCGAAAGCGUGGGUA
rnacentral:rRNA from 1 species